AUGUUGUCUGUAGCUCUUCUGCUGCUGCUGGCAGCUGGAUCCUGUAAGUCUCUGUUCACAUCAGUAAACUCUGGUGUGAAGUGUGAGACACUGACACAGCCAGCCUCUGUGACUGUGCAGCCAGGACACACUCUCACCAUCUCCUGUACUGUCUCAUAUUCUGUUAGCAGCUACUGGACAGCAUGGAUCAGACAGCCUGCUGGGAAACCACUGGAGUGGAUUGGUCAGCGUGCAGGAUCCACUGUGUACCUCAAAGAUUCACUGAAGAACAAGUUCAGUAUAAAUGCAGAUUCCUCCAGUAACACAGUGACUCUGAAUGGACAGAACAUGCAGCCUGGAGACACUGCAGUGUACUACUGUGCUCGAGACCCACAGUCAUACGAAGUAUAUGUAGAGCUGUACAAAAACACAUCAGACUGUUAUUCACUAUGGCCAACACAGGAGGAGCUCUCACACCACUAA